rnacentral:lncRNA from 1 species
CCCCCCCCAGCACAGCCAUGGGGCGCUGCGCGGCGCUGCGGUUGGCGCUGCUGUGGGGCGCGGUGUGGGGCGCGGGGUUGGGGGCCGCCUUCGAAUUGGGGGACGCUCUGCGGGGGCUGCGGGGGGAAAACGCGCGGCUCGAAGGGACGCUGCGGAACCUCAGCCGGGCGUUGGGGCAGCUGCGGGCGCGGCUCCGGGAGCCCCCCGAUCUGACCUGGAGCUCCCCGGACCCCCCCCAGGCGCCCCCCCAUUGCGCCCUCAGCCCCACGGCGUCCCGCGCCGCCCCCCCCCCACUUUUGGGGUCAUUCUGGAACGUUCUGUGGGGGGGAAUCGCUGCCCCCCAACUGCUGCUGCUGCUGCGCUGAGACCCACUGCAGCCCCGGACCCACGGAUGGACCCCCCCCCGGCGUCGCCCUUUUAAUCAGCGCGACCCAAUGACUGCAACGGGUCACGUGGCGUCGCAUUGAUACGACGUCACGGCGCCGGGCGGCCACGCCCACCGGCGUCGCGCAGCAGUGACGUCAGUGCGGCCUUGAGGACGGCGCGGCGAUGGCGGGGCUGGGCCG